rnacentral:rRNA from 1 species
UGGGGAAUUUUGGACAAUGGGCGCAAGCCUGAUCCAGCAAUGCCGCGUGCAGGAUGAAGGCCCUCGGGUUGUAAACUGCUUUUGUACGGAACGAAAAGCCUGAGGCUAAUAUCCUCGGGUCAUGACGGUACCGUAAGAAUAAGCACCGGCUAACUACGUGCCAGCAGCCGCGGUAAUACGUAGGGUGCAAGCGUUAAUCGGAAUUACUGGGCGUAAAGCGUGCGCAGGCGGUUUUGUAAGACAGUGGUGAAAUCCCCGGGCUCAACCUGGGAACUGCCAUUGUGACUGCAAGGCUAGAGUGCGGCAGAGGGGGAUGGAAUUCCGCGUGUAGCAGUGAAAUGCGUAGAUAUGCGGAGGAACACCGAUGGCGAAGGCAAUCCCCUGGGCCUGCACUGACGCUCAUGCACGAAAGCGUGGGGAGCAAACAGG